UCCCGGGAAGGAGGGGAGCUUGGGCCUGUGAGGUGGAGCCUCUGCUUCCCUCGGUGCUCCGCAGGAGUCGCCGAGGCGUCCUUCCUGUGGCUCGCUCUGGGCGGCCCGCAAUCCCUCCCUUCGGCCGCCGCGCCGCCGCCGCUGGAGGCAAGGGCGUGAGCUGCCCCUGGAGCCGUGAGGCCCGCUCGGCGGCUGCAGCUACGUGAGGCCGAGGCUUCCGAACAGUGCGGGCCCAGGGCUCCUGGGUUCAGAGCUGGAGGCUAGGGCCCCGGCGCGGCCGCCGGCCGAGGCUAGCCCGAGGCCCCGCUUGCCGGCAGAAAACCGCACCUCGCCGGAAGAGGACGCCGCCCAGGCGGCGCGGACACUGCCAGUUGGCGCACCGUCGCCGUCCGGCCUCUGCAGUAGUAUUUCGCCUGGGCCGCGUGGCCGUUCGCCCCUCCACCGCUGUACACGGCAGCACGGGGAGGAGACGGGAGCGGCUCUUGUUCCGUGGGGCGGCCCCCCACCCCGUGCUAGGAAACGGGCCUACGUGAAGGUCACUCCUCCUCGGCGAGUGCCCCUCGGAUACCCCGCGGGGGGACAGUCGCACCACCGCCACUGCCCGUUCCACCAUCUCUCCUUUGCUCCUUCCCCUCUCAAAAGGCACUAAUUUUAAGGAAAAAAAAUCUAAGUGAUAAAAAAGAACCAGGCUUUCCACCAAGUUCUUAAUAACCCAAAGCACAAAUUUAGUGAGGGGCAACUUUAUAAUAGCAGGAAGUAGGGUCCUUCAAUAAGUUCAUUUAUCAGAUUCAACUAUGCGUCCAUUAUUCUAGGCAUGUAGUUUGUCUUUCACCCACGUGUGUAUUUAUUGCAGGCGUCUGACCAACACACAAGUUCAGAGAAAAGAGCAGCAAAAACUGAAGUGAAUGAAAUGCAAAAGCAAGAAAUUAAAGAGGCCUUUGACUUAUUUGAUGCUGAUGGCUCUGGGACCAUAGAUGUGAAAGAACUGAAGGUCCUGAAAUAAUUUCCAAUUCCAACACAUUUCAAAUUCCAUGUUUGUGGGAUCAGACUUUAACGGUAGUCUUCAGGAAGCUUGAGAGUGUUAACAAACAAUAUCUUGUUAACAUUUAAAUCAUGUUCUAUACGUGAGCAAGCCAAGCCCCGGUGUACAGUAUACUGUAGCACAGCUGGGUUGAAACCUGGGACUGCUGACCUCAUUUCUAGGUUAAUGCUCAGUCCCUGUUAAAAAAGAGAAGCCUGGGCUGGAGUUGUGGCUCAGUGGUAGAGGGCUUGUCUAGCCUGUGAGAGGCACUGGGUUUGAGACUCAGCACAGCAUACAUUUAUUAAAUGAAAUUUCCAGGUAGUUGUAGAUUUUUUUAAAAA
rnacentral:lncRNA from 1 species